rnacentral:lncRNA from 1 species
GUGCAACAUGGUUAUGGGUACUACAGUGGAUGUGAGUGUGUAGACCUUGUACAAUAGAGCUUAUAGGCUAAUGAGAAGACAGGAAGAAACAACAGGAACACAUAUAGCUGGAAUGCAGAUGGGAUCUGUGCUACUUACGCUAGCCAUGGGAUGAUUAGAACAAGAUAAGAGACAUGAGGAAGACUUCUUCAAGGAGGUGCUCAAGCCAUGUUUUGGAAAAGAGAACUCAAGGUCUGGCAGGGAGAAAGGAGCAAGGUCCUCUUCUCCCUGAAGGCUGUCACAGUUCCUGUGCAGAGAGAGAGGGCACUGCAGCACCCAGGCGCUGACUGCCUUUUGUCAGUCUCAUUUGCAGGCCCCCAGCUGGAGAACCCAGGAGGAAGAGGAAAAAAGUUUUUUCCUCCUCUACACUCCCCAUGCAUGACUAAAGAGUAGGAGGAGUCAGCAAGGCAGACAUAUAUAGUACCCAGGAGGUGGACAAACAACUGCCUUGGUGGAAACUCUGUCCUUUCUGGACUUAUCCUGGUGCCACUGAGACUGUGCAGGGCUUCUUUUGCUCAAUAUGGGACUCAUGAGAGUCAUCGGUGUUGUGUGAGGCAGCUGUUUGUUGAUUUUCUGGACCAAAUAAUGUUCCACCGUGUGACUGGACAUACCUUAGUCUAUCCAUUCUACCACUGAUGAGCAUAUUUAGAUCUACAAUCCACCUGGAAUUGAUUUUUGUAUAUGGAGUGAGGUCCCACACUUACAGGGAAAGCAUCACCCGAAAGUGAGAAUGCCUAGAGGCAGGAAUCAUGGAGGCUUCCUUAACCGUCUGUCUGCAACAGCAGGUGCUAGAGAUGACACUGCAGAGUAGAGAACAAAGGAAUCUUAGUAAUUGUUCAAUCCAAUCUCCACACUUUAAAGAUGAAGAAACUGGUAUUGAGAAAAAUACACAGCUUAUCCAAGGUUGCACUGCUGGUUGGUAGCUGAGAUGAAUUUAGAACCCACAUCUGAUGACUACACCAUAUUGCUCCCAGUUUUCCUGUCUGUUCCACAUGUAAAAGUCUGACUCUUCACUUCUCCUUUGAGUAUAUAGACUUUUAACAUUUUUGUAUGUCAAGAUGGACUUUUCCUCAUACCCAGCCCCUGCCUUUUCUCCUCCCUUCAUACCUUGCAGGAUCUUUAACAGAAUUUAAAAGGAGUUUUUUGUUUUGUUUUGAUGUAUCUAAUAAAAGUCAAGGGAGGGAGAGGGCCAGUAUAAGCAAGAGUACAGUUUCCUAGUUUGUAGAUGCGGUAGUCUGAGGAAUCAGAAACACACAAAGGUUUGGAGAACUGGUACAUGCUCCCAGGUGGGAAGCCAGGACUCUUGGUAGGAUCUUGAGGACAAGGCAAAGGACAAUAAGAGAGCGAGGGGAUCCUAGAGGUGGAAUCAAGGAAGAGAAACUAGAGAGAGAAAAAGGAACUGGCUAUCCAUCCAUGAUGGAUCCUGUGUGGACUGAUGGGUGGCUUGGCAUCAUCCUUUAGUAGACUUCAUGUGGUUGAAUAAUUGGCCAAUGGAAGGAAUUUCUUUUUUGGUAACAGACUCUGUGUGUACAGUUAUGGGUCUUAAUUUAUAAUAAAAGGUUACAUUGAAAAUUG